ACCUGUACAGACUUUGGGCUUGAACUUUACAUGCUGUUUAGAAAGGAUGGCCCUAUUAGUGAUGGUCCUUUACAUCCUCUCUUCUCCCCCCCUUAAAAUCACCUAGUGUCUGGUUUCGGCUUAUAAAUGACAGUUGUUAUAUCCCUGGACCUCGAGACACAGAAGCUCAGCAUUGAUGGACCACCCUCCUCCCACCUUAUUACCCUUUCUUUCAGGUUAAGGAAAGGAAUGGUGUGGGAUGUGUUGCUCUCUAGUUGGGCUCCAGUAGCUUUUCCUUCAACGUGGUACCACCAGUUUUUGUGUGUGUUUUUUUAACCUAGACACAGAGGAUAAUCUGGAGAAAUUGCAAUAAUGAUUUGAAAGGGCUUGAACUUCAACUUUUUUACUUGUUUCCAUCACCCCCCCAAAAGUGAUAUUUCUACUUUUAAAUCCAUCCUGAAUCUUAGAAACAGUCUUACCUGUGAAACACGAGUUUCAAAUGCAAUUUCAGUGAUAAAUCUUAGCAGAUGAAUAACAGGUAGAUUAAAAGAAUCUUGAACCUCUGAAAUUUUCUCCUUGAAAGUUUGUAUUCUUUUUUAACCUGGUGAUUAAAUGUAUUAUGUUUUGAACUGGUUAGUGAAUGUGUUAUGCACAAUCAAAAUAUAGCAACUGAGAGCCAUUAGAAUUCUUUUUACAAGUAUUUUUCAGACAGUUAAAAACCAUCGAAAAUCCUUUGUACCUAUGAGCAGUGCUGGAAACCCAGAGGUAUAGUUGGUUCAUCUUAUGAAACAAGGUGUAACAUCAGCAGUUUAAUGUGAUUUUUUUUUCCACCUUAGCUGUGGCAGAUAUUUUAGGGACUAGCAGUUGUUCAUUAUGUAUAAUUCAUAUUAGUGAGGCUUUAAUAGGUCAAUAGCAUGAGUAAGAGUGAAUACCUAUUACAGCAUUUUAGAUUUG